GCUGCUCGGGCACACCACCGAAACCAGAGCGCACUAGGGCAUGGCGCUGGGCUGCGCUCGCUGCCUGGCUGGGGCCGGGCUAGAGGCGGACACCUGUGCAAUCCGCCCGGGAUUCCCUGACCCACAAGGCGGACUAAACCCCCUGCUGCAGCCGGGGGAGGGGGCCGCGCUAUUUCCGACACGCAGCCCCGUUAUUCACCCGAGGGGAAGAGCCGCCGGGCAGCGACCCCUACCGCCCGCAGCCGGCCAGCGCACCCCGGCUCCAACCUUCUGGUCCCCCCCUCCCGGCCCUCCAGUCCGCCCACAAUCACUUCAGCCGCCGAGUCCUGAGGGAGGCGGCAGGAACCAGCCAUCCCCAGCUGCAGCAGAGCAGCAGCCCGCGCACACUGAAACCAGCCCCUUAGUGAUCUGUCAGCCUGCUGGUGACAAACCUGUGGCUUGUGCGGUUUCCAGCACCGAGGAAAAGCGCUAGAAAGGAAACAGAAGAGCAAGGGAACGUGCAGCCUGUUUCUGUCCCAGCUUGUUGCUCGGGUACAAAUAGGCAAACACCCUGCUUCUCCGUUUGGGGCCCUUCCCCCCAAAGCUAUUUCUUACACGUGAGUGCUUCUUACUAGAAAGAAGCACAAAAUAAAGAGCUGACGUUGCAGCCCCAGAAAGGCGGGGCAAACCAGCGGCAUAAAUAACCGUCUGUUAUAAAUAUUAAACACCAGGCUUCUCUAGUGAUAUUUUUAAAAAAAACCCUCAACUGAAACAAUCAUUACUGAGUUGUCAUCUUAUGUGUAAAUAACCAUAUUUAAACGUGUUAGUGGACAACCCCUGUUAUAAUACUAUUUAUCCUUGGCUGCAUGGACAAAAAAAUACCCACAACACGGUAAAACAUAGUAGAGAGCCAUGUUUUAACCAUGGCAGAAAUGUAGGCUAAAGCAUGGCUCUCUGAAAUGUUUAUAACAUUUUCCAUCCACAUAAGUAAUAUAUAAUAAACCAUAUUAUAAUGUGUUUUGCCCCAUGGAUGGGCCUGGUUCUCAUUUAUACUCAACACUGCUCUGAUAGUGCACGGGAAUCUUAAGGUGGAUGGAAAUUACAAUCAGUCCUGGAUGUCUCUGGAGAAUACUGGUACUAACAACAGGGUUCUUGCAGGAAUAUAUUUCAUCUCACCAAGGUAACUCGGGUGAGUUGAACUGUCCUUUAUCAGAGGACCCAGAAUGUUAGAUUUAGGCUCUCAGCAAUGGGACCCACCUGUAGGAACUUUCAGAGAAUGUGUCCAGUCACUGCAUCUCUGUAACUGUUGCCAGAACUCAUCACAAGUCCUUCCUGUUUAGAUGAGCGUAAUCAUCACCAUUUACAUUUCCAGGGUUCCCAUUUGCCAGUAUGCACAGUGUGGUUGGGGCUGCAAUGAGGAUCUGCAGUUAGGGAGCUGGACUUCGUUUCAGAUUUAAUGUAGCUAGUAGGUGUAUUUUUGCUUGUGGGUGUUUAUAUAAAUAAAUAUAAAGACUUUGUUAUUUCAAAAGUCAGGAGAAUCCAAAUGAAAACUAAAACACACUUUAACAAACAAAUAAAAAAAAAUCAGUAAGCUCCUGCCAACACCAUCAGUUCUGUUAAACGAGUAAAGAAACUUUCGUUGUUAAGAGGGAGAUUUAGGUUCUGUUUAUUAUUCAUUAGGAAGUUUGUUUUCUCUUUGGCACUGUUUGGGAGUAUGAAAUGGCCCGGAGGAAUGUGUGACCUCUCCUACCUGUCUGCAUCGGGGCCAGGCCUUGCUGCUGGAAACCACUUACUUAGUUCAGUGUGUAACUGAUUUGUCUUAUCUGCUUAUUUUUUCCCUAUGGAGAGAAUAUAAAAGGGGGCAGGGGGAAGAUACAUAUGCUUUCACAAAUAUCAUAGCAGUUCCAUUGACCUAUUUAGGGCCUAUGUUCUCCCCUUCAUUAAGGCAACCAGAGGGAGCAGAAAGUGGCAGAACUGGGUGGGGCCCAUAGAAGAGGGGAAGGAUAGGGGUGAGUCAGCAGCUAGGGUUGAAGCUCUGAAGAAUAGCAAGCCAGGGUAGCAUCACUAUUUCCUUAUCAGCCCAGCAGAAAUCUAUAGAAGUCUUAAGCUGCUGCAAGCAUUAUUAAUACCAGCUUCAUGCUUGCAACCUUGUUUGCACAGGCACAAAGUGCUGUGAAAAGAGCAAAUGGCAGCACAGCUUGCACAGGAAGAAGGCCCAGCCAUCACCAGUGAGAAGAUGACUCCCCAUAGACCCACAGGGUACAUCUACAUGACCAAAAAAAAAAAAAAAAAACCCUCCGGCAGCAUAUCUCAGUACUUGGGUCUACCGACUUGGGCUCAUGCUACAGCUAAAAAUAGCAUUGUAGGCAUUCCCACUCAGGCUCCGAGACCCAUCCCCUUUGCCAGGUUUCAGAGGGCAAGUCCACAUCCCAAUGGGAACAUUGUUUUUAGUUUAGCGCCGUAGCAUAAGCCUUGCAAGCCCAAAUCUGUAGACUUGGGCUCUGAGACUUGCAGCAGUGGGUGAUUUUUUGCAGCGUAGACACACCCACAGUUUCCUCUCCGCACAGAGCUUUAGAAUCCCCAUGGUUUAAAGGCAUCACUGCUUCUCCGUAGCCUCCCACCCCAAAUCUCUCACUUCUGAGGGUAUCUACACACACACACACACACACACAAUCUUCUGACUCGGAGCCUGAGCUAGUUUAUCCAGCUGAGAGUUGUAGGUUAGAGCCAGAGCUCCACUGUAACUUGGGUUGGAACCCACCCACUUUGUAGUAAGGAUUCAGGCUACAAGUGCUGAUAAUCUUCCAAUGCCUUCCCAUUCCCACCCCCUCACCCCACAAAGGACAAGUUCUACAGCAGUUAACACAAUUGACUGGGAAAGAAUCCUAGAGUGUCUCCGCAAUAAGAAUCAUGGGAUAUGCCCCCAGACACACACACACGUGAUGCAGAAACAAUGAGGACACAGUGAUGCAAUUAGCACUUUGCAAUGGGGAUGCUCACCCCCAUGCUAGACUAACCUGGGUGCUCAAAUCUAGGCGCCAAGCACCCAGGUUAACUGUGCAGUAUAGGCAUAACUUCGGGGGAGCAUAAGGAAACUGUUAGGCAAACCUUUCAGAGUUUUCUUGGUCUUCUAUUCUGCAUCUACAAAUAUGCAUAAGGGAUAAGAUGUGGACCAAGAUUCGGAGAGUACGCAACACUAGAAACUAUGACAUACAAGGUGAAAUCCUGGUUCCAUUGACUUCAAGAGGGUCAAGCUUUCACCUACACUACCCUGUUAUUGGAAAUACAAAUAUGGAAUGUGUAUUAUAGGUAAUUGCUGGUUUUGAUUGUAAUCAUGAAGACUCACUGUACUUCAAAAUAUCUGACUGAAGUUUAAUUUUAUGAUUAAAUGUUAUUUUAAAUAUA